rnacentral:rRNA from 1 species
GGUUGUUGCUGGCUCUUUUUUGGGCAUGUGCACGCUUGUCAUUUUUAUAUUUCAUUUCUCCUCUGUGCACCAACUGUAGGGUCUGGAGUUUUUUGAAAUCAAUUUGUUGAUUUCGAUUUGAGGACUGCUGUCUGUCGGCUUUGCCUUGCAUUCUCCAGGUUCCUAUGUUAUUUACAAUCUCUCAAUAUGUCUGGAAUGUCGAAUUGAUGUAUAAAUAUAUACAACUUUCAGCAACGGAUCUCUUGGCUCUCGCAUCGAUGAAGAACGCAGCGAAAUGCGAUAAGUAAUGUGAAUUGCAGAAUUCAGUGAAUCAUCGAAUCUUUGAACGCAUCUUGCGCUCCUUGGUAUUCCGAGGAGCAUGCCUGUUUGAGUGUCAUGAAGUUCUCAACCACAUUGAUUUGCUUCUGAUGUGGAUUGGAUAUGGGGAUUUUUGCAGGCCUUUUUAAAAGAGGUCUGCUUUCCUGAAAUAUAUUAGUGGUAUCUGAGCAGAGACUUACUACGGGUGUGAUAAAUCAUCUAUGCCUAUUUGUAGAAUGCUGCAACAGGACUGCUUCAAAAAACUCAUUUGUUGACCCGUUUGACCUCAAAUCAGGUAGGACUACCCGCUGAACUUAAGCAUAUCAAU